rnacentral:sRNA from 1 species
UGACCGCUUGCGCAGUUGUGCAAGUCAUCGCCAUACGGACAGGCGGGUCAACUGCCG